GGGUGGGAGGGCCCUGCUUCACCUCGUGAGACGCGAGGAACCGCUGAGGCCUCCUAACCCCUCUCCACUCUUUCAACUCUAAGAAGACUUGGAUUCCUGCAACUUCCCUGGUUCCUUCCUCGCCCCCGGUCGGCCUCUCCAUGACUACAUGCCAAGAACCAGAGGUUUGAAAGCAGUCGAGGAAACCAGAACAACGUAACUGGAGAAAUGAUGUAGAAUGUGCGGUUCAUCUGUAUGUUACAACCCGU